AGGGCGGUGGCAGAGUGACCAUGCGGUAGGUUGCAAAUCUAUAGAAGGCGGGUUUGAUUCCCGCCCGACCUUCCA
rnacentral:tRNA from 1 species